AUUGAACGCUGGCGGCAGGCCUAACCCAUGCAAGUCGAACGAGUGGCGGACGGGUGAGUAAUGUCUGGGAAACUGCCCGAUGGAGGGGGAUAACUACUGGAAACGGUAGCUAAUACCGCAUACCAUCGGAUGUGCCCAGAUGGGAUUAGCUCGUAGGUGGGGUAACGGCUCACCUAGGAGACGAUCCCUAGCUGGGCUGAGAGGAUGACCAGUCACACUGGGACUGAGACACGGUCCAGACUCCUACGGGAGGCAGCAGUUGGGAAUAUUGCACAAUUGGCGCAAUCCUGAUGCAGCCAUGCCGCGUGUAUGGAGAAGGCCUUCGGUUUGUAAAGUACUUUCAGCGAGGAGGCGUUACUCGCAGAAGAAGCACCGGCUAACUCCGUGCCAGCAGCCGCGGUAAUAC
rnacentral:rRNA from 1 species